rnacentral:ncRNA from 1 species
GGGUCCGCCACAGGACCCGAGGGGAAAAGGAAAGCUGGGUGAAAAUCCCACGCGGUCACGCCGCUGUAAUGGUCGAGUAGCCUCCAUGAUGUCACUGUGCGCCGUUUGCGUAUUGGGAAGGCGGAGGAGUUGCGUUGAAGCCUGAGCCAGAAAGCCUGCCUUAUGAUG